rnacentral:rRNA from 1 species
AUACGGAGGGUCCGAGCGUUAUCCGGAAUCAUUGGGUUUAAAGGGUCCGUAGGCGGGAAUCUAAGUCAGUGGUGAAAUCUUGCAGCUCAACUGUAAAAUUGCCAUUGAUACUGGAUUUCUUGAAUUAGUGUGAAGUGGUUAGAAUGUGUAGUGUAGCGGUGAAAUGCAUAGAUAUUACACAGAAUACCAAUUGCGAAGGCAGAUCACUAACACUAUAUUGACGCUCAGGGACGAAAGCGUGGGGAGCGAACAGGAUUAGAAACCCUAGUAGUCC